AAACUUUAAUUCAAAUGAUUGUGGAAAAUUAUUCUAAACAAGAACCUUACAUUAACACUGAGCAAUUAUGGGAGGAGGAUUCACCAUGUCAAGUGGAAGAAACCUUUACCAAGUUCAUAAUGAUGACUCAAUUUAAUUUCCAUAAAUCAGUAGGCAGAAAGAAACCUUGCGAAGGGGUUGGGAAUUUUCCUUCGAGAAGUUAGAGAUGCAACUUGGUCUAGUAUCUAGCUAAUUACAUUAAAACUAAG
rnacentral:lncRNA from 1 species